GUGAGUUCAGCCCGACCCCCCGGGGCUGAACUCCGACGACCCCCGCCCCCUCCCCCCCUGGCGGGGGUCGUCCCAU
rfam:Amycolicicoccus subflavus DQS3-9A1, complete genome.